rnacentral:lncRNA from 1 species
GACAACUAUAGUUGAUAUAUUGAGGAGAUUUGGGAGAUUCUAAUAAUUAAGGAACAAUCAAUGCAUACAUGGAUUAGAAGAAGGAUUUAGAUAUUUUAUCACAAAAACAAGAACAAUGGUCUCAUCCAUUACAGGAACGAUGGUCUCACCCAUUUCAGAUCAUUGGGUUUGAACCAAUUAAGAAACACAAUUUGAUGAUGUACAAUUGUACAUUCAAGGUUCGACGCACUUAAAUAUUUCCCUUUAUAUAUAUCAUGUUGACACUGUUAAUAUAUGGGAAGAAAUGAAGUUCAAAAAUUUUUAUUUUUUAUUUUUUAAGGCUUUACCCUUAAUUUAAGGGAGCCCUUCCAGAAAUUAUAUCAUAUUCUUAAUCUUUCAAGGAACUAAAGAAGUCCUUCC